rnacentral:tRNA from 1 species
GGGCAUGUGGCACAGUGGUAGCGCGCACGCUUUGCAUUCGUAUGAUUGCGUGAGGUCCAGGGUUCAAGCCCCUGCUUGUCCA